GACGAACGCUGGCGGCGUGCUUAACACAUGCAAGUCGAACGGAAAGGCCCUGCUUUUUUAGGGUGCUCGAGUGGCGAACGGGUGAGUAACACGUGAGUAACCUGCCCUUUACUUUGGGAUAACUUCAGGAAACUGGGGCUAAUACCGGAUAGGAGCUCCUGCUGCAUGGUGGGGGGUGUAGAGUUUCGGCGGUUGGGGAUGGACUCGCGGCUUAUCAGCUUGUUGGUGGGGUAGCGGCUUACCAAGGCUUUGACGGGUAGCCGGCCUGAGAGGGUGACCGGCCACAUUGGGACUGAGAUACGGCCCAGACUCCUACGGGAGGCAGCAGUGGGGAAUAGUGCACAAUAGGCGGAAGCCUGAUGCAGCGAAGCCGCGUGCGGGAUGACGGCCUUCGGGUUGUAAACCGCUUUCGCCUGUGACGAAGCGUGAGUGACGGUAAUGGGUAAAGAAGCACCGGCUAACUACGUG
rnacentral:rRNA from 1 species